AGAGUUUGAUCAUGGCUCAGGAUGAACGCUAGCUACAGGCUUAACACAUGCAAGUCGAGGGGAAACGACAUCGAAAGCUUGCUUUUGAUGGGCGUCGACCGGCGCACGGGUGAGUAACGCGUAUCCAACCUGCCCAUCACUUGGGGAUAACCUUGCGAAAGUAAGACUAAUACCCAAUGAUAUCUCUAGAAGGCAUCUGAAAGAGAUUAAAGAUUUAUCGGUGAUGGAUGGGGGAUGCGUCUGAUUAGCUUGUUGGCGGGGUAACGCCCACAAAGCAACGAUCAGGUAGGGGUUCUGAGAGGAACGGUCCCCCCACAUUGGAACUGGAGACCACGGUCCAAACUCCGUACGGGGAGGCA
rnacentral:rRNA from 1 species